GAUCCCUUAUAAUCUUAUUAAUUUAAGAAAAAGAAACAUAAAGUUUUGCUCUUAGAAGCCUGUAUCUCGUGUAGUUGUAGUAGUUAAGGUAACAGAUUAACUAGCUUUAAUAUACGUAGUCGUAACUGAGAGGUUUAUCGACCACAAUGGGCCUGAAUAAAGCCCAUGAUGAUAAUCACAGCAGUGAGGAAUAUUGGUCAAUAGCCUAACGGCUGAACCAGCAACUUGGAGGAAUGAAUAGCAAUAGCUAAUUACACAUACAUAUGAUGUAAUAUCGACUCCGUCGAAUAAAAUUCUGGCUAGAAUUAUGAUAAUGACAUUAUCUAGCUAUGUGUCUUGACUAAAUUACGUGCCAGCAGUCGCGGUAAUACGUAGAAGACUAGUGUUAUUCAUCUUUAAUAGGUUUAAAGGGUACCCAGACGGUAAAUCAAGCCUUAGACGGAACUAAUUUGCUAGAGUUACUUACGCGGGGGCUAUGAAGUACUAAUGGUGUAGAGAUAAAAUUUUGUAAUACCAUUUUUCGAAAGAAAAGUUAUGGCACUGGUAAAGGCGAAAGCAUCCCCUUAUGUGAUAACUGACGUUGAAGGACGAAGGCUUUGGGUCGCAAAUAGGAUUAGAUACCCUAGUAGUCAAAGGAGAAAAUUAUGAGUGUCAUAGAUUAGAAAUUAAGUUUUAUUCUAUAAAUGAAAGUGUAAGCACUCCACCUCAAGAGUAAUUUGGCAACAUUGGAACUGAAAUCAUUAGACCGUUUCUGAAACCAGUAGUGAAGUAUGUUGUUUAAUUUGAUGAUCCGCAAAAAACCUUACCACAGCUUGAAUAUUUAUAUUUUUCAUAUAUUUACAAGCGUUGCACGGCUGUCUUCAGUUAAUGUCGUGAGACUUUGGUUAGAUCCAUUAAAUUAACGUAAGCCCUUACUUUAUUUAUAAAUAAAGUCGUUCCCCACUAUAUUGGAUAUGAUAA
rnacentral:rRNA from 1 species